ACACCAUCAACACCAUCAACAGCCCAGAGUUCAGGAUCCCCUCCAUUCAAUCCACCUCCUGAAACCUUCAACCAGUUUUCAGUGCUGCUUGUGGUCGGAGGUUCGGUGGUGAUCGGAGGGAUGUUGGCCGUCGUUGUUCUGCUUCUUUACAAACUGAAGAAGGAGAAUCAGGAAAUCAGGAACAUGGAGUCUGCCACCUAUGAGAUGGUCAGGAGGAGAGCCCAACUACCAGAGUCUGAAUCUAGACAGAAACAAUCAGGAACAAAUCGACUCGACACUCAGAACACCUGAAGACACACAAACGUCCUGUUAAUGAGCAAAAACACGUCUCAGUUGAACUGCAGGCAGUGUUUCCAUGGAAGAUGUGAAGCAAUGUUGGAAAAAUUCCCACAUCUAAAUUUAAAAUAUAGCAUAUCUUCUCAAAAUCCCUUUAGUCAACACGUCUGAUUUUUUUUUUUAAAUUUGGCAAAAAUAUUUUCUAGAGUUUUUGGUUGAACUGCAAGCAGUAUUUUCAUGUAUAACAUGAAGUACUGUUGGAAAAAUUCCCAAAUCUGAGUUUAAAAUUAUGAUUUUUCAUCAAAAUCACAUUAGUCAACAUGCUAGAUUUAAAAAACUUUUGGCAAAAAAAAAUUUUUGAAGAGUUUUUGUUUGAACCACAGGCAGUGUUUUCAUGGAAGAUGUGAAGCAAUGUCGGGAAAAAUCCCAAAUUUAAGUUUAAAAGGAUAAUAUUUCAUAAAAAUCACAUUAGUUGACAUAUUUGACCUAAAAACUUUGCUUUUUUUUGAACAGUUUGGUUUUUAUGCAUAACAUGAAAUAAUGUUGGAAAUAUUCUCAAAUCAGAAAUCAUUCUAAAAAUCAGUCUAAAAUCACAAUCGUGCUAGUUGACAUGUCUGAUUUCAAAACAAAUUGCUAAAAAAUAAAAAUGUGCAAAUGCUCGGUUUAACUGCAGGCAGUGUUUUCAUGUAUGAUGUGAAAUAAUGUUGGAAAAUUCUCAAAUCUAAGAUUAAAAUUGUUAUUAUUUCAUCACAAUCA
ensembl:lncRNA